rnacentral:rRNA from 1 species
CUAAAGCCCCUCGCUUACACCGAGACACCAUCUGUUUGAACCAGAUCAUUUUGAGCUCACAAUCUAGCCCACCCCUCACCCCCCCCCAACACUUUUACCCUGCAAUUCUUAAAUAAACCAUUCUAAUGGCUUAAUACAGGAGAUCGAAAAAUCCCUUAGGCGCCUCAAAUAAAGUACCGCAAGGGAAUGAUGAAAUAUUAAUGAAAUAGCCUUAAGCAAAAAAUAGCAAAAAUUCCCCCUCGUACCUUUUGUAUCAUGGCCUAACCAGUCCAAACAGGCAAAAAAAAACUUUAACUUGACUCCCCGAAACUAAAUGAGCUACUUCAAAAUAGUCCUAGGACCAACCCGUCUCUGUUGCAAAAGAGUGGGAAAAUUUUUAAGUAAAGGUGACAUGCCUAUCGAGUUUAAAGAUAGCUGGUUGUUCAGGAAAAGAGUUUAAGCUCUACCUUAAGUUUUUCUAUUAAUUUGAUAAUUCUCUUAAACUUAAGAGCUAUUCAAAUAAGGCACAGCUUAUUUGAAACAGGAUACAACCUUACAUAUAGGGUAAGUAAAAAAACAAUAAAAAUAAAGUAGGCCUAAAAGCAGCCAUCUUUAAGAAAGCGUCAUAGCUCCACCACACUUAAUCCACAAUUACCUCAAUCUCCCCUAACCCUUUACCCCUACUGAACCACUUUAUAUUAUUAUAAAAGCCACUAUGCUAGGACCAGUAACAAGAACUUACUUUUCUCCUUAAUAUAAAUAUAAGCCAAAACGGAUAACCCAUUGGUAAUUAACGUUUAUGAACCCCUUAUAACAACUCCAACUAGAAAACCUUAUAUCUACAAACGUUAACCUUACACUAGAAUAUUAAAGGAAAGAUUAAAAGAAAGAGAAGGAACUCGGCAAAUUUUAACCCCGCCUGUUUACCAAAAACAUCGCCUCUUGAUAAACAUAAGAGGUCCAGCCUGCCCAGUGACAAUGUUCAACGGCCGCGGUACCCUAACCGUGCAAAGGUAGCAUAAUCACUUGUUCUUUAAAUGAGGACUUGUAUCAACGGCACCACGAGGGUUGCACUGUCUCCUCUUUCCAAUCAGUGAAACUGAUCUCCCCGUGAAGAAGCUGGGAUUUUAGUAUAAGACGAGAAGACCCCAUGGAGCUUUAAAUUAUGUGCCUAUUUUGUAACAACACCAAGAAACUAAAAAGUUUAGGCACCCUUUUAGGUUGGGGCGACCACGGAGUACAACUAAACCUCCACAACAAACAGGCCACACCUUUACCCACGAGCUACACCUCUAAGAAUUAACAUAUUAAUGUUUAUGACCCGAUAUUCGAUCAAUGAACCAAGUUACCCUGGGGAUAACAGCGCAAUCCAUUUCAAGAGUUCUUAUCGACAAAUGGGUUUACGACCUCGAUGUUGGAUCAGGGUACCCCAGUGGUGCAGCCGCUAC